rnacentral:rRNA from 1 species
CGGCAACAGCUCAAAUUUGAAAUCUGGCCCUCGGGUCCGAAUUGUAAUUUGUAGAGGAUUCUUUUGACAAGGUGCCUUCCGAGUUCCCUGGAACGGGACGCCAUAGAGGGUGAGAGCCCCGUCUGGUCGGAUACCGCGUCUCUGUAAAGCUCCUUCGAC